rnacentral:rRNA from 1 species
GACGAACGCUGGCGGCGUGCUUAACACAUGCAAGUCGAACGAAGUGGCGGACGGGUGAGUAACGCGUAAUCAACCUGCCCUUCAGAGGGGGACAACAGUUGGAAACGACUGCUAAUACCGCAUACUGAAGGAGGGGAUUGCGUCUGAUUAGCUAGUUGGAGGGGUAACGGCCCACCAAGGCGAUGAUCAGUAGCCGGUCUGAGAGGAGGAACGGCCACAUUGGGACUUGUACAAGGCCCAGACUCCUACGGGAGGCAGCAGUGGGGAAUCUUCCGACAUGGAAGAAAGUCUGACGGAGCAAAGCCGCGUGAGGGAAGAAGGUUUUCGGAUCGUAAAGCUCUGUUGUUAAGGAAGCGGUACUUAACCAGAAAGGGACGGCUAACUACGUGCCAGCAGCCGCGGUAAUAC